CCUACGGGAGGCAGCAGUAGGGAAUAUUGGACAAUGGGCGCAAGCCUGAUCCAGCCAUGCCGCGUGAGUGAAGAAGGCCCUCGGGUUGUAAAGCUCUUUUGUCCGGAAAGAAAAGCGCCGGGUUAAUACCCUGGUGUCCUGACGGUACCGGAAGAAUAAGCACCGGCUAACUUCGUGCCAGCAGCCGCGGUAAU
rnacentral:rRNA from 1 species